rnacentral:rRNA from 1 species
GUCUACAGCCAUACCACCCUGAACGCGCCUGAUCUUGUCUGAUCUUGGAAGCUAAGCAGGGUCGGGCCUGGUUAGUACUUGGAUGGGAGAAAAGGUUAAUGGUUAUAAGCU